rnacentral:rRNA from 1 species
GAUGAACGCUGGCGGCGUGCUUAACACAUGCAAGUCGAACGGAAAGGCUCCUUCUUGCUGGGGUACUCGAGUGGCGAACGGGUGUGUAACACGUGUGUGAUCUGCCCUGCACUUCGUGAUAUGCCUGGGUAACUGGGUCUAUUACCGGAUAGGUCCUCAUUUUGGUUGGUGUGGUGGAAUGUUUUUCGGUGUGGGAUGGGCUCGAGGCCUAUCAGCUUGUUGGUGGGGUAAUGGCCUACGAAGGCGUCGACGGGUAGCCGGCAUGUGAGGGUGUACGGCCACAGUGGGACUGAGAGACGGACCAGACGGCAACGGGAGGCAGCAGGGGGGAAUAUGGCAGAAUGGGCGGAAGCGUGAUGAAGCGAAGGGGGGAGGGGGAAGACGGGCUACGGGUUGAAAAAAAAUGGCGAAAGGGACGAAGCGAAAGUGACGGUAACUGGAGAAGAAGCACCGGCUAACUACGUG